CCGCUGUGUAUGGAAUUAAAGAAAUAGAUGUGUGAAGAAGUAAGCAGAAUGGCAUGCAGCAAUUUGUGAAGUGCACAAGUGAAGAGGUGUUCCAGUGGUGCUGAGAAGAUGGAGUACGGCUUCAGAACCUGGAAAACAAAAUUAGGUCCUAUCUACGUGGGGAUGCUGAGGAAACUCAAGCUGAGCUAAUUGAAGGUGUGAAUUUAAAUUAGAUCAGAAUGGGGCACUGCUAUUCUUCACAAUGAGUAGACAAUGAAGGAAAUGCUCAUAAUUGACCAGCAAAUGAUGCAAGACCUAUACAAACAGAAUAAAAGAUCUCCUGGUCUCUAAGUAAAAAAGGUAACAGUUCAUUUGCUUUUCUUUUCUCAUACUACUACUAAUAACAAUAUAAAUGUUUGUACUUAUCAUGUAAAUAUUUGUACUAUCAAUGCAAUCAAGGAGUUCAAGCAAAAAAAUCCUUUGCAUAUAAACCAGCAGAGGAUCACCAGCUACUUCCUUUCAGAAUCAGACAAAAUCUGGGAUGAGAGCUUUAUUCCACUCUAACUCAGCCUCCAAAAACAGUCUGUGCCUGUUUCAAUCCUCUGGAUGCCAGCAAAACUGUGCAGAAUUGCUAUGAACAAUACACUAGGCAAAGCUAACAAGCAGUUCCUUCCUUUGCAUUAUGGUUAAAGGUAAGGGAAAUAAAACAAAGGAAAUGCUAAAGGCUGUUAGAAGAUGUUGUAGUUUAUUCCCAGAUUCAUAACAGCAGAGUAGAUAAUACAGCAAUGUGCUAUCAUCUGUUUCUUGGCAAUAGGCUGUACGAAGUCAUACUGCUACUUACCUUUAAUAAAUAAGUUCCCACUAGUGCUUCUCACACAUUAAUUAUUGUACAAAUCCCAUGAGUGAAAAUAAAAGUUCUGCAGAUAGGUAUUCUCCCUCCUCGCAUUAGCAAAAGUUAAAUGUUAGGAAAGAAAACCACUGAGAACACAGAGAGGACUGGUGAAUCACGUGCUUAAUUGAGAAAACCUGACCCAGCCGAGUGGCUACAAAACAAAAUGAGCAAAACAAAAACUCUUAUAAUCUAGCUCUUACAUGACAAUGUGAGACUCUGCCAUGCAUGAUCUUUCCAGGGCAUCUGCAUCUAGCUCAGUACAUGCAAACCAUAGCAUCCCCUAGUAAUUUCUGUAUAGAUACAUUAUUAGCACAAGUCACAGCCAAAAUGAAUCUCAUUUGUUUCAUGUGAAGAGCCCAGAUCAGGCAGGAGCAAUGUCAGACAGUGCUCAUCAGGCACCCUGGUGAAUGAGGCUUGGUGUAAUUUAGAUGCCCUGCCUCAGGGAGAAACUACAAAGGCCAAAUGGUCUGGGUGGUUUUCAGAGAAAAUAAAAUGGGAUAAGAACCUGAGACAUGCACUUUCUACUGAAGUCUUCAAGAUGGUUUUCAAAUUCAGGCAAAAUCCUCAAGGUGGGAGUUGCAAAGAAAGGCAAGAAGAGAAGGACAGCACCUAGCUUUAAAACACUUCCUAAAUAAAUUUUGGCAGUGCUUCAACAUUAAAGCUUUUGGGGCUGGAAAUUGAGGGAGCCUGGCCAGGCUGACAAACAGAGGACAUAGCACUCCCAAUACAGCAGUGAAGAACAGCCCUGUGAGAGGGAGCUAGAUGCCAAGGACUCACAUGCAAAAGGGAGCUGAGAAGCUAAGCCCCAAACAGAUGAGGAGGAGGACAAUACUCCCAGAUACUGUUUUGGCAGAAGAGAAGAAAAUACAGUGAAGGAUACUAAGCAACUGAAAGGAAAGACCAAACACCUGUUUAUGUUACAAAAUUAAAGAAAUCAGGAGAAAAAUCCUGAUUAAAACUGAUUAAAAAUAUAUAUUUCAAGCCCUAAAAAUAACUCAGUAGUGAAGCAAAGAGAAAAAGAAGGUCACACAGGACACUUACAUUAGGCAGGAUAAGCCCUUGUAAAUGUGCAGUAGGGAUUAAUUGCACUUUGGAAGUGAUGUACUAGAUGACCUACCAUAACAGUUCUGGAGAUAACUAACAGCAAGAAUAAGUCAUUUUGAAAAUUCAUCAGGGAAGCAUAGUGUUGCAAAGAUUCACAGAAGAAAUGGCUGUGUUCUUCUGCAUGGUAAUAAGAAAAAGCACAAAAGGACAGAUUUUCUACCAAGUACAUCAAUUUCCUCAGUAUACUGGUAACCACCUAUCUACAAGGGAUGUUCCAAAAGUAUGGCCUCCUAUUUUAUUAUGUUGGCUUACGAUUUCAGAGGUGGAUGUUGGUGAUGUGACAGUAGAAGUUGAACAUUCUCACCAAUGUUGUUGCCAUGCAACAGAUGGCAGUGGAGGGGCAGUGUGACACAAUGGCAUCUGACGUGGAAGUGCACAGAAAGCAAAGGUGUGUCGCUGAAUUCCUCCAUGUGGAAAAAUUUGCACCCAUUGAUAUUCAUCAACUUUUGCUGAAUGUUUAUGAGGACCAGACAGUGGAUGUGAGCACAGUGAGUGGUAGGUGGUGCAUUUCAGCAGUGGAGACAGUGAUUUGAAAGGCAAGACACAUUCCAGACAGCCAUGCAGAUUUUUACAGGCAUGGCAUGCAGGCUCUUGCUUAUUGCUGGUGAAAACGAAUAGCUAAUGGAGAUGACUGUGCUGAAAAAAAAAAUGCAUUUUGUAGCUGAGAAUUUACUUCAUCAAAUAGCAUUGCUGCACUUUUUGUAGCUGCUGUUGUUCCCAUGGAAAUAAAGAGGAGGCAUUACUUUCAGAGCAACCUACAUACUUGUCCUUAUAUAACUGGUGAAGGAAACUCAUUUUGCUUUAACUGUCCCCUUUUUUUUCCUUUCUGAAAUCAUUAGCUGCCAAAGCACCCUGUCUACCUGUGUCCCCUCACAUCCCAGCUACUGUUCAGGAGUUUGGGUUAUUUGAUUUAAUUAUUCAAAAUCCUGAAUCUAAAAAAAAAAAAAAAAGUGUAGUUUCUUUGACAUUUUUUAAUUACUUGCCUUAGUUUUAAGGUGGACAGGAAAAUACAAAGUAUUUUUGUAUUUUUGUUUUUUUUCCUCCUUUUAUCUUGUUGGUAUCAUUUCUUCUGGAAUUUUUCCUGAAAUGUGAGCAGAUUUUUCCAGUAAAGCAAAGCAGAUGUUUUGCAAUGGUUUUCACAGCAAUAAGCCCCUGACAAGCUGUAGUACACGUGCCCUGUACUGCAAACAUUGCUUGAAUACUUUUACUUACAACUAGUCUCAGUAAAAUUGACAGGAAUAUUUCCCCCUUACCUACUUGCUCUGUGGGAGAAAAUACUCUUUUCUUUACAUUUCCACUCCUUUCAGCAAACAGAUAACAAAGAAGCUACAGACACAUAUACU
ensembl:lncRNA